rnacentral:lncRNA from 1 species
CACCUCGGCCCGCGCCCCUUCCCCGCCCCAGCUUUCUUCCCGCCAGGCCCCCUCCACCCGAUCGCCGCGCGCUCUCCGAACCAAAAGGCGACCUCACGAAAUGCCCCUUUGAGCUCAAAGGCUAGUUACCCCCAGGGGCCCUUCCACUCUCGGGGACAGGCGAAACCUCUUUGUCUCUGCCUCGGCCUGCGGCCCCCAGCCCAGCCUCCGCGCUUUCCCUCCGCCAGUCCUUGUCAAUCAAACCUGGUGCCAAACGCGGCAGCUGAAGUUUUCAGGGACACAUUUGCUUCUCCCCUUGAAGAACCAGUUACAAAGCGUGAUGUCCUCUCUGGGGUCCCAUCAGAACAAAGAAACAGGUCUAAAGACCCUCAUUCCAGAGAGCAUCCUGCCCCAUAUCCAGAAUGAAAUCCAUGCUCAGAGAUGCCAAGAAGAAUCUAGACAGACAGGCCUUUCUAGAGUCAAGAAAAUUGUUUUUUUCUUUUGAGCUGUACAUAGCUUACAGUAAUUAGAUAAAUUACACUUUUGUGAGAACAAUUGAAACACUAACCUUUCUCUCUACCUGAUGUCUCCAGAAUUUGGAAAGUAUUUAAGUUAAAACUAUGCUUUUCUUGAAGCCCUGCAGACUGGAGCAAGACAACUUGAAUAAACUAUGGGAAAAAUCACUACAGCAACUUAUAUAUAAACAGCUUUUAUGCUUUGUUGAUGUAUGGAAUACUCAGAAAGUUCACUGCAACACCUGAUUUAAACUACAACCAGGAGACUCUGUCAGAUUAACACUACAAUCUGAAGAACUACAGAGACUCUCAAAAAACUAGUGUAUAGUCUACAGUAGAUAUUAACCUUUGUUUUUCUUCUGUUUUCAUAGAAACACCUUUUAUUAAAAAUCUGUUUGCCGCUUCAUAUAUAGAGUCCUAGUCCAUCUGUAAUGCCACCCCCUGGAAUGAGACAUAGCUGUUUAACUGAACUGAUCUAUUCUCGGGACUAAGAGACUGAUAAAAAAAGAUAUAAAAUGAUAUAUUCAAAUUUGCUCCUUUCUGCUUAUCCCUUUUGUUUUUCCACUCCUUUGUCUAUCUGUUUCUGUAACCAAAAAGGCGUCCUGAUCCAGACCCCAAGAGAGGGUUCUUGGAUCUUGCGCAAGAAAAAAUUCGAGACGAGUCCACAGUGCAAAGUGAAAGUAAGUUUAUUAAGAAAGUGAAGGAGUGAAAUAGUCCAUAGACAGAGUAGGGCAUUCCCAAAAGUAAGAGGAGGAAUGCACCCACCCUAAGUACAGUGCUUGUUUAUAUGUAGGAUAACAACAACAACAACAACAACAAAAAAUCACAGGGAGAUGUGCUCUACUACAAGGGCUUGUGAUAAAGGACUAAUUUUCUCAAUUACUAUAUUUUGCAAGAAUUGAUAUUAUUCUGUUUAAAGCAAAAUUAGGAAUGUCUUUGUUCUCAGGAUGUCAGGAUAUCGGUCAUUCCUGGGCCUGGGUCUGUUUAGUAAACAUUUUUAAUCUGUACCCUUAACCAGAAACAUCUACAGGCUAGGAAUACCUAACCUCCUGGGAAUCCAGCCCAGCAAGUCCCAGCCUUAUUCUUCUAGAUGGAGUCACAUUCAAGAUGGAGUCACUCUGGUUCGAAUGCUUCUGACAUAUUUUCCCCAUCCCUUUUACAAGAGGAACCGUAAUCCUAAGGGUUGCAGAAGAAUGAAGAUCCCUCUUCUGUAACUUCAUGCUGAACAGGGGCAAUGAUAUUCCUACCUACCUGUUAGGGUCUCUUAUAUUCAGGGUAGAGAGAAGCUCAGUCAGAAAGCGUCAGUAUGGUGAGGGUCAUUUGUAACUCUGAGUCCCAGCAAAAGGGAUAUCUGGAAGAUUAACAAGUGUUCAAUUUAAAAAAGCGUUGAGUAAGCUUAUCUUGCAUUCCUACACAAAAAGUACAACAGCAAUGUAUUCACAACAGCAAGGCAAAAUAAAUGAAAUCAUCCCAAGUAAACUAAACAGGAAGGCUUGCCAAGAACUAGGCAGUUUUUGGAACCAAGUUGAUACAGGGUCGACUGACAGCGCAUCAAUGACAGAGAUAUGAGUGUCUAAAGCUUUCAUAGGCUGGGUAAUAUUAUGUAAACCAUCCAGAAUACACACACAACAUUCGGUUUUUAUCAAAGCACAAGUUUCCCCUUAGGCUGCUGUUAAAAUUCCACAGCCAUACAAUUUUGUAAGGUCACCUGCCUAAUCUGAGAAGUUUCCUAAGUUAGGAAGGUAAGGCAUGGUAAGUAUUAUUGAAAGUUGCAGCCGUGUGCUU